GAGGACAGUAUCUGCCGCUACUUUUCCUGCUGAACACUUGGUGUUCCCCUGGUCGAGGCUAAAGAAGAAGCAAAUGAGAAAAAAGCUGCGGGAGCUGUAAAAUAAUUUCCGACUCCUCAGGAGAGGUAAGUAAAUGCAAUGAUAUUAAAUAACAUCUGGAAAGGUAAAGAAAUGGACGCUUUUGCAGAGA
rnacentral:lncRNA from 1 species